AAACCGUGGCUCAGUUCAGAUCGUAGGCUGCAACUCGCCUACGUGAAGGAGGAAUCGCUAGUAAUCGCAGGUCAUCAUACUGCGGUGAAUACGUUCCCGGGCCUUGUACACACCGCCCGUCACACCAUGGAAGUUGGCCACGCCCGAAGCCGUUACUCCACCCUUGUGGAGGAGGACGUCGAAGGUGGGGCUGAUGACUGGGGUGAAGUCGUAACAAGGUACCGUACCGGAAGGUGCGGCUGGAUCACCUCCUAA
rnacentral:rRNA from 1 species